UGGGGAAUAUUGGACAAUGGGCGCAAGCCUGAUCCAGCCAUGCCGCGUGAGUGAUGAAGGCCCUAGGGUUGUAAAGCUCUUUCAACGGUGAAGAUAAUGACGGUAACCGUAGAAGAAGCCCCGGCUAACUUCGUGCCAGCAGCCGCGGUAAUACGAAGGGGGCUAGCGUUGUUCGGAUUUACUGGGCGUAAAGCGCACGUAGGCGGAUUGUUAAGUUAGGGGUGAAAUCCCAGGGCUCAACCCUGGAACUGCCUUUAAUACUGGCAAUCUCGAGUCCGGAAGAGGUGAGUGGAAUUCCGAGUGUAGAGGUGAAAUUCGUAGAUAUUCGGAGGAACACCAGUGGCGAAGGCGGCUCACUGGUCCGGUACUGACGCUGAGGUGCGAAAGCGUGGGGAGCAAACA
rnacentral:rRNA from 1 species